AUUAAAAUUUUUUUGUAGUAAUAGGAUCUUGCUAUGUUGCCCAGGCUAGUCUCAAACUUCUGGCCUCUGGUGAUCCUCCCUCUUCAGCCUCCCAAAGCACUGGAAUUACAGGCAUGAACCAUGAGACUAGGUCAAAACUAUACAUUAAUAUAAAAAGUAAACAUAAAUUUGUUAAUGUAAGGCAAUUUAACUUUUGAAAAAUCAGAUAUAUGUACAAAGUGAGAGAAGGAAAAGGGCAAUUUAGAUAGCACAGCAAUCUGCCUGCGUUGCUGUCCCAGAGCCGGUGCCUUGGUGGUGCGAGGUGGGACCUGCUUCUUAGAGUGCUGAUGUACCCUCUCUCUGAGGGUCAGUCUACUUCUUCCUUGUCUUUUUUUUUUUAAACACAGCUUCUAAAUACAAGAUGCACAUGGAAUGAAAUGAAGUUCAAAUGCUGGAAGAAAAUCUGAUUAUGUAUCUAACUUUUAGAGAAAUUAAAGGGAUCUUUAAGUUGAGCAUACACAGUCUCUACCUUUGCAUUCUAGUUCCAAUCUAAGAUGUGACUACCUUGUACCUCAGGUUGAAGGAUGGUCUCUAGCUAGAAAAACUGUGUCCCUUUAGGUCACACUCCAUCAUUGGGCAAAUAAGGUUGAGAACUACUUUCCAUCCUGGAAAAAGAUCUGUGUGUCAAAUUGAAGUUCUUCUUGUUUUUUUUUUUUUUUUUUCUCACUCCUCAGUCUCCAGUGAGAAUGUCUCAAUUUGUCAACUAGCUGUAAUCACAGGUGUGGCCUCUCCUUAGGAGAAAUAGCAACAUACUCUUCUGGGUCAAUUUAGCAUAAACUUUAAAGUAAAAGGGAUUCCAUGCCAGGUAGCAGAUUGGAUUAGAAUUUCUCCAAGUUUCCGCCCAUACCUCUCACUCUGUGGAAGUAUUCCAUCAGUCCUAACACUAUUGUAAAAAGGCUUUCUGAAUAAUUUGUAGCCUCUUUUCUCCUUUAACCAAGCACAUUAGUUGAUCUCCUGAUGUGUGACUCAUUCCUUUUGCUCCUGGAUCAUGGGAGCUGUGGGGACCACUGCCACUGUAAACACACAUUUAAGCCUCCGCUCCCACGUGGUUCCAGUCACCCAUCUUGUGGGGUCAAUGUACCCACAGGGAGUGGAAUCAUUAUAUUUAAGGAGAAUUAAGUGUUAUUUGAAAAUAUUUGGACCCUGGAGCCCCAAGCAGGGGCAGAGGUUUACUUUGGAACCUCUCCCUGGAAGCAGAGUAGUGGGUCAGGGAGCCUGGACACAGGAUGGGUGCUGAGGUCUGUUGGGGGAGGCACCAGCCUGGCCUUGACCUUUGCACCUGCCUGGCAGUCAUGUCUCUGUUAGGCCAUUUUUGCCUUGUUGUGAUCCAGUUUUGGCUUUCUUGGCCAGUGACCCCCCUACCUGGGGACCCCCAGGAAACUUUCUCUCCUUUUUUUCAGAUGUUGCCACUUCAGAGGCAUUUUAGGCUCUAGGUUGCUGCCUCCUCUGACCACUCUCCUUUCUGUAUCCCCCAUUCCACUGGCUCCUUCAGCUCCACACCUACUUCCUGAGUGUGCUCGCUGGCUGGAGAUGGAAGGCCACUCUGGGAACUUCUAAGCUCGAAAGAAGACCAAUUCUGUUGAAAGUCCCAUACUCUUGGUGCUGUUUAACUUCACUAGACUCCAUCUCAGGAAAAACUAUAGCCAGCACUACGGGAGUGUCCGCCACUUCCAGAACCCUUUGAUUCUAUUCUCCUCUUGGCCUGCAGAUUCCCAGUGCAAAUACUCAAGGCACUAAGACUCAAGACUAAAGACUGUGUACCCUGUGUGCUAUCAUCCACUUAGAUGUCCAGUUCCUGCCCUGCAGUCAGCUGAUGAAUCUUCUGGUAGAGCAGGUCCUGCAUGGUUCUCCCUAUAGUUGUGAGCAAUAAUCACAUGAAGCCCUGGGUCCUUAACACAUGCUGGAGAGGAGAAAACUUUGAACUUGGGGUUUCCUUAUGGGUAGCAGCAACCAGAAGCCACCAUUUUUCAAAAUGAAGUCCUCCUAAAGCCUCCUAACGCCUCCUAACUUUUAUGAACUCAAUAAAUCUCUUAAAUUCAUCCCAGAAAAACAACCUAUUUUCCAAGUGACGUAAGGUUCAGCAACACGGCCCCCACCCUCUUGCCCCGGACAAAUGAUGUCCAGGCAGACACAUCACACAGUGGCUGCUCCUGCCAACACAAUAAAAAAUAAAAAAGUUUCUCAUUGA